GAUGAACGCUGGCGGCGUGCCUAAUACAUGCAAGUCGAGCGAACGGACGAGAAGCUUGCUUCUCUGAUGUUAGCGGCGGACGGGUGAGUAACACGUGGAUAACCUACCUAUAAGACUGGGAUAACUUCGGGAAACCGGAGCUAAUACCGGAUAAUAUUUUGAACCGCAUGGUUCAAAAGUGAAAGACGGUCUUGCUGUCACUUAUAGAUGGAUCCGCGCUGCAUUAGCUAGUUGGUAAGGUAACGGCUUACCAAGGCAACGAUGCAUAGCCGACCUGAGAGGGUGAUCGGCCACACUGGAACUGAGACACGUUCCAGACUCCUACGGGAGGCAGCAGUAGGGAAUCUUCCGCAAUGGGCGAAAGCCUGACGGAGCAACGCCGCGUGAGUGAUGAAGGUCUUCGGAUCGUAAAACCCUGUUAUUAGGGAAGAACAUAUGUGUAAGUAACUGUGCACAUCUUGACGGUACCUAAUCAGAAAGCCACGGCUAACUACGUG
rnacentral:rRNA from 1 species